CUGUGAGCUCGAUGAGUAGGGCGGGACACGUGGUAUCCUGUCUGAAUAUGGGGGGACCAUCCUCCAAGGCUAAAUACUCCUGACUGACCGAUAGUGAACCAGUACCGUGAGGGAAAGGCGAAAAGAACCCCGGCGAGGGGAGUGAAAAAGAACCUGAAACCGUGUACGUACAAGCAGUGGGAGCACAGAGCAAUCUGUGUGACUGCGUACCUUUUGUAUAAUGGGUCAGCGACUUAUAUUCUGUAGCAAGGUUAACCGAAUAGGGGAGCCGAAGGGAAACCGAGUCUUAACUGGGCGUUAAGUUGCAGGGUAUAGACCCGAAACCCGGUGAUCUAGCCAUGGGCAGGUUGAAGGUUGGGUAACACUAACUGGAGGACCGAACCGACUAAUGUUGAAAAAUUAGCGGAUGACUUGUGGCUGGGGGUGAAAGGCCAAUCAAACCGGGAGAUAGCUGGUUCUCCCCGAAAGCUAUUUAGGUAGCGCCUCGUGAAUUCAUCUCCGGGGGUAGAGCACUGUUUCGGCAAGGGGGUCAUCCCGACUUACCAACCCGAUGCAAACUGCGAAUACCGGAGAAUGUUAUCACGGGAGACACACGGCGGGUGCUAACGUCCGUCGUGAAGAGGGAAACAACCCAGACCGCCAGCUAAGGUCCCAAAGUCAUGGUUAAGUGGGAAACGAUGUGGGAAGGCCCAGACAGCCAGGAUGUUGGCUUAGAAGCAGCCAUCAUUUAAAGAAAGCGUAAUAGCUCACUGGUCGAGUCGGCCUGCGCGGAAGAUGUAACGGGGCUAAACCAUGCACCGAAGCUGCGGCAGCGACGCUUAUGCGUUGUUGGGUAGGGGAGCGUUCUGUAAGCCUGUGAAGGUGUACUGUGAGGUAUGCUGGAGGUAUCAGAAGUGCGAAUGCUGACAUAAGUAACGAUAAAGCGGGUGAAAAGCCCGCUCGCCGGAAGACCAAGGGUUCCUGUCCAACGUUAAUCGGGGCAGGGUGAGUCGACCCCUAAGGCGAGGCCGAAAGGCGUAGUCGAUGGGAAACAGGUUAAUAUUCCUGUACUUGGUGUUACUGCGAAGGGGGGACGGAGAAGGCUAUGUUGGCCGGGCGACGGUUGUCCCGGUUUAAGCGUGUAGGCUGGUUUUCCAGGCAAAUCCGGAAAAUCAAGGCUGAGGCGUGAUGACGAGGCACUACGGUGCUGAAGCAACAAAUGCCCUGCUUCCAGGAAAAGCCUCUAAGCAUCAGGUAACAUCAAAUCGUACCCCAAACCGACACAGGUGGUCAGGUAGAGAAUACCAAGGCGCUUGAGAGAACUCGGGUGAAGGAACUAGGCAAAAUGGUGCCGUAACUUCGGGAGAAGGCACGCUGAUAUGUAGGUGAAGUCCCUCGCGGAUGGAGCUGAAAUCAGUCGAAGAUACCAGCUGGCUGCAACUGUUUAUUAAAAACACAGCACUGUGCAAACACGAAAGUGGACGUAUACGGUGUGACGCCUGCCCGGUGCCGGAAGGUUAAUUGAUGGGGUCAGCGCAAGCGAAGCUCUUGAUCGAAGCCCCGGUAAACGGCGGCCGUAACUAUAACGGUCCUAAGGUAGCGAAAUUCCUUGUCGGGUAAGUUCCGACCUGCACGAAUGGCGUAAUGAUGGCCAGGCUGUCUCCACCCGAGACUCAGUGAAAUUGAACUCGCUGUGAAGAUGCAGUGUACCCGCGGCAAGACGGAAAGACCCCGUGAACCUUUACUAUAGCUUGACACUGAACAUUGAGCCUUGAUGUGUAGGAUAGGUGGGAGGCUUUGAAGUGUGGACGCCAGUCUGCAUGGAGCCGACCUUGAAAUACCACCCUUUAAUGUUUGAUGUUCUAACGUUGACCCGUGAUCCGGGUUGCGGACAGUGUCUGGUGGGUAGUUUGACUGGGGCGGUCUCCUCCUAAAGAGUAACGGAGGAGCACGAAGGUUGGCUAAUCCUGGUCGGACAUCAGGAGGUUAGUGCAAUGGCAUAAGCCAGCUUGACUGCGAGCGUGACGGCGCGAGCAGGUGCGAAAGCAGGUCAUAGUGAUCCGGUGGUUCUGAAUGGAAGGGCCAUCGCUCAACGGAUAAAAGGUACUCCGGGGAUAACAGGCUGAUACCGCCCAAGAGUUCAUAUCGACGGCGGUGUUUGGCACCUCGAUGUCGGCUCAUCACAUCCUGGGGCUGAAGUAGGUCCCAAGGGUAUGGCUGUUCGCCAUUUAAAGUGGUACGCGAGCUGGGUUUAGAACGUCGUGAGACAGUUCGGUCCCUAUCUGCCGUGGGCGCUGGAGAACUGAGGGGGGCUGCUCCUAGUACGAGAGGACCGGAGUGGACGCAUCACUGGUGUUCGGGUUGUCAUGCCAAUGGCACUGCCCGGUAGCUAAAUGCGGAAGAGAUAAGUGCUGAAAGCAUCUAAGCACGAAACUUGCCCCGAGAUGAGUUCUCCCUGACUCCUUGAGAGUCCUGAAGGAACGUUGAAGACGACGACGUUGAUAGGCCGGGUGUGUAAGCGCAGCGAUGCGUUGAGCUAACCGGUACUAAUGAACCGUGAGGCUUAACCUU
rnacentral:rRNA from 1 species